rnacentral:tRNA from 1 species
GCGUCAGUGGUUUAGUGGUAAAAUCCAUCGUUGCCAUCGAUGGGCUCCGCGUUGGAUUCGCGGCUGACGCA